AUCAACUUUCGAUGGUAGGAUAGAGGCCUACCAUAGUUUUAACGGGUAAUGGGGAAUUAGGGUUCGAUUCCGGAGAGGGAGCCUGAGAAACGGCUACUACAUCCAAGGAAGGCAGCAGGCACGCAAAUUACCCAAUCCCGAUACGGGGAGGUAGUGACAAUAAAUAACAAUACAGGGCUCUUAUGGGUCUUGUAAUUGGAAUGAGUACAAUUUAAAUUCCUUAACGAGAAACAAUUGGAGGGCAAGUCUGGUGCCAGCAGCCGCGGUAAUUCCAGCUCCAAUAGCGUAUAUUAAAGUUGUUGCAGUUAAAAAGCUCGUAGUUGAAUUUCGGGGUUCUACCGUUGGUCGGGCAAUAGUCUGUACUGGCAUGUGGAACUUCUACCUUCUGGGGAACCAUCAUGUUAUUAAUUUAGUGUGGUGGGAAACCAGGACCUUUAUCUUGAAAAAAUUAGAGUGUUCGAAGCAGGCUUAUGUCUGAAUACAUUAGCAUGGAAUAAUAAAAUAGGAUGGUAGUCCUGUUUUGUUAAUUUCUGAAUCACCGUAAUGAUUAAUAAAGAUAGUUGGGGGCAUUAGUAUUCAAUUGUCAGAGGUGAAAUUUUUGGAUUUAUUGAAGACUAACUUCUGCGAAAGCAUUUGCCAAGGAUGUUUUCAUUAAUCAAGAAUGAAAGUUAGGGGAUCGAAGACGAUCAGAUACUGCCGUAGUCUUAACCAUAAACUAUGCCGACUAGGGAUCAGACGAUGUUAAUUUUUCUUGACUCGUUCGGCGCCUUACGGGAAACCAAAGUGUUUGGGUUC
rnacentral:rRNA from 1 species